GGGGAAAUAGCUCAGUUGGUUAGAGUGCUGGUCUGUCACGCCAGAAGUCGCGGGUUCGAACCCGCCCG
rnacentral:tRNA from 1 species